rnacentral:rRNA from 1 species
GAUGAACGCUGGCGGCGUGCCUAAUACAUGCAAGUCGAGCGAACGGACGAGAAGCUUGCUUCUCUGAUGUUAGCGGCGGACGGGUGAGUAACACGUGGAUAACCUACCUAUAAGACUGGGAUAACUUCGGGAAACCGUAGCUAAUACCGGAUUAUAUUUUGAACCGCAUGGUUCAAAAGUGAAAGACGGUCUUGCUGUCACUUAUAGAUGGAUCCGCGCUGCAUUAGCUAGUUGGUAAGGUAACGGCUUACCAAGGCAACGAUGCAUAGCCGACCUGAGAGGGUGAUCGGCCACACUGGAACUGAGACACGGUCCAGACUCCUACGGGAGGCAGCAGUAGGGAAUCUUCCGCAAUGGGCGAAAGCCUGACGGAGCAACGCCGCGUGAGUGAUGAAGGUCUUCGGAUCGUAAAACUCUGUUAUUAGGGAAGAACAUAUGUGUAAGUAACUGUGCACAUCUUGACGGUACCUAAUCAGAAAGCCACGGCUAACUACGUG